GGGUCGUUGGUGUAGUGGUAACAUGAAAGCCUCCAAAUCUUUUGACGAGCGUUCGAUUCGUUCACGACCUGCCA
rnacentral:tRNA from 1 species